rfam:Cavia porcellus supercont2_86 genomic scaffold, whole genome shotgun sequence.
GGGGAUUUAGCUCAGUGGCAUAAGUACCUGACUUGCGAGCAGGUGGUCGUGAGUUCAAUCCCCA